rnacentral:snoRNA from 15 species
AGCCAAGUGAUGUUACAAUUCAACUGAGCGCCGUUAUCGGUCUAUUUUUGAUUGAUUUUGGCUGUUAAAAGGAUGUUCGCAGUUGCGAGGCAUUUGUCUGAUGGAAUA